rnacentral:rRNA from 1 species
CACCUACGGGACGCAGCAGUGAGGAAUAUUGGUCAAUGGCCGAGAGGCUGAACCAGCCAAGUCGCGUGAGGGAAGACGGCCCUAUGGGUUGUAAACCUCUUUUGUCUGGGAGCAAAGCGAGUCACGUGUGACUCAUUGAGAGUACCCGAAGAAAAAGCAUCGGCUAACUCCGUGCCAGCAGCCGCGGUAAUACGGAGGAUGCGAGCGUUAUCCGGAUUUAUUGGGUUUAAAGGGUGCGUAGGCGGAGGAGUAAGUC